rnacentral:rRNA from 1 species
GGCGCGCCUAACACAUGCAAGUCGAACGAGCGAGAGGAGGUUUACUUUCUCAAGCGAGUGGCGAACGGGUGAGUAACGCGUGAGGAACCUGCCUCAAAGAGGGGGACAACAGUUGGAAACGACUGCUAAUACCGCAUAAGCCCACGACCCGGCAUCGGGUAGAGGGAAAAGGAGCAAUCCGCUUUGAGAUGGCCUCGCGUCCGAUUAGCUAGUUGGUGAGGUAAUGGCCCACCAAGGCGACGAUCGGUAGCCGGACUGAGAGGUUGAACGGCCACAUUGGGACUGGGACACGGCCCAGACUCCUACGGGAGGCAGCAGUGGGGAAUAUUGCACAAUGGGGGAAACCCUGAUGCAGCGACGCCGCGUGGAGGAAGAAGGUCUUCGGAUUGUAAACUCCUGUUGUUGAGGAAGAUAAUGACGGUACUCAACAAGGAAGUGACGGCUAACUACGUGCCAGCAGCCGCGGUAAAACGUAGGUCACAAGCGUUGUCCGGAAUUACUGGGUGUAAAGGGAGCGCAGGCGGGAAGACAAGUUGGAAGUGAAAUCCAUGGGCUCAACUCAUGAACUGCUUUCAAAACUGUUUUUCUUGAGUAGUGCAGAGGUAGGCGGAAUUCCCGGUGUAGCGGUGGAAUGCGUAGAUAUCGGGAGGAACACCAGUGGCGAAGGCGGCCUACUGGGCACCAACUGACGCUGAGGCUCGAAAGUGUGGGUAGCAAACAGGAUUAGAUACCCUGGUAGUCCACACUGUAAACGAUGAUUACUAGGUGUUGGGAGGAUUGACCCCUUCAGUGCCGCAGUUAACACAAUAAGUAAUCCACCUGGGGAGUACGACCGCAAGGUUGAAACUCAAAGGAAUUGACGGGGGGCCGCACAAAGCAGUGGAGUAUGUGUUUAAUUGGACGCAACGCGAAGACCCUUACCAAGGUCUUGACAUCUUGCGACGAACAUAGAAUUAUGUUUUCCUUUCGGGACGCAGAGACAGGUGGUGCAUGGUUGUCGUCAGCUCGUGUCGUGAGAUGUUGGGUAAGUCCCCGCAACGAGCGCAACCCUUAUGGUCAGUUACUACGCAAGAGGACUCUGGCCAGACUGCCGUUGACAAAACGGAGGAAGGUGGGGAUGACGUCAAAUCAUCAUGCCCUUUAUGACUUGGGCUACACACGUACUACAAUGGCGUUAAACAAAGAGAAGCAAGACCGCGAGGUGGAGCAAAACUCAGAAACAACGUCCCAGUUCGGACUGCAGGCUGCAACUCGCCUGCACGAAGUCGGAAUUGCUAGUAAUCGCAGAUCAGCAUGCUGCGGUGAAUACGUUCCCGGGC